GCUUCAGCCAGCAGGAUCGCAACAUUGUUUCAAAUACAGAAGAACACCGAGCCAGAAAGCAACCACAGUAGGAGGCAAUUUCCGUUAACAUCUGAGCAACCAGAGGCAAAGCUCUAGAUCUACAG